rnacentral:tRNA from 2 species
GCCGAGGUACCGAAGCGGCCAAACGGAGCAGUCUGUAAAACUGUUGGCGGAAGCCUACAUAGGUUCGAAUCCUAUCCUCGGCACCA